AUCAUACCAGCAUUAAUGCACCG
rnacentral:rRNA from 1 species